rnacentral:rRNA from 1 species
AUUGAACGCUGGCGGCAGGCCUAACACAUGCAAGUCGAACGAGUGGCGGACGGGUGAGUAAUGUCUGGGAAACUGCCCGAUGGAGGGGGAUAACUACUGGAAACGGUAGCUAGUACCGCAUGCCAUCGGAUGUGCCCAGAUGGGGUUAGCUAGUAGUUGGGGUAAUGGCUCACCUAGGCGACGAUCCCUAGCUGGUCUGAGAGGAUGACCAGCCACACUGGAACUGAGACACGGUCCAGACUCCUACGGGAGGCAGCAGUGGGGAAUAUUGCACAAUGGGCGCAAGCCUGAUGCAGCCAUGCCGCGUGUAUGAAGAAGGCCUGCGGGUUGUAAAGUACUUUCAGCGAGGAGGCGUUACUCGCAGAAGAAGCACCGGCUAACUCCGUGCCAGCAGCCGCGGUAAUAC